CCCGUUUACAUUACUUUGUUGUAUCACUGGAGCCACACAUUUUUAAUCAAACAUGAUCUAGUCCGCAAAUUCAAUUUUCCCUUCAAGAACAUUCAACAAUUCAGGCUCUAGUUCUUUAUGCUUGAUCACGAACUCCUCCAAGAAGCUCUCAUCAGAAGGUGAUAAAAUUGAAAGUAAACUGAUUGUUUCCUUGAUCAAGCCCUUUAGAAGCAAGACUUUUAUAACAUAACACCUUGGGACAAUCCUAUUCUCCAAACUGUA
rnacentral:misc_RNA from 1 species